ensembl:lncRNA
CAAUCACACACCUGUUCCCGCUUGACUCAUCACCGGCUGUAUAUCUGAGGAGCCCUGACGAACCGUCCCUGCCGGAUCGUUGAUCCACAUCCGAAUCUCCUGACAACCUUUACCAGCCCAUGUAUCGACCUCCUGCCUGUCCAAGACUACUCUGCCUACUCCCUGUCACGCAGUCAGAAAGCUAACAGCACCAUCAUUAAAGCUAAGAUCUCACAGCUCCAAUCAGUCAAACCAUCUGGAUGUCUCAACAUUUUGUCCAAGAAGGAUUUUCUUUGGAUAACUAGACCAGGGAGACGUCAUCAAGAAUUCUCCAAGGAACAGCUGGGAGUUUCUACAGAAUGGAAGAGGGCACGCUGCUUA